rnacentral:rRNA from 1 species
UACGGAAGGGGCAAGCGUUGUUCGGAAUCAUUGGGCGUAAAGGGCGCGUAGGUGGUUCUGUAUGUCUACCGUGAAAGCGUACGGCUCAACCGUAUUUUGUCGGCAGAAACUGCAGGACUUGAGGCUGGGAGGGGCUGGUGGAAUUCCCUGUGUAGCGGUGAAAUGCGUAGAGAUGGGGGAGAACACUCGUGGCGAAGGCGGCCAGCUAGACCAGUUCUGACACUGAGGCGCGACAGCGUGGGGAGCAAACAGG